ACAAGGAUUCCCUUAGUAGCUGCGAGCGAACAGGGAGGAGCCCAGCACCGAAUCCUGCGCGUCGUGAGCGCGUCUGGAAAUGUGGUGUUUGGGAGGAUCCGAUCAUCUCGCUCGGGCACGCCAGUCCAAGUCCAUCUUGAAAGCGGCCACAGCCCACAGAGGGUGCCAGGCCCGUAGGACGGCGGCACAGUCCCGAGCGAAAGGGUCUCUCCCCAGAGUCGGGUUGCUUGAGAGUGCAGCUCUAAGUGGGUGGUAAACUCCAUCUAAGGCUAAAUACGACCACAAGACCGAUAGCGAACAAGUACCGUGAGGGAAAGUUGAAAAGAACUUUGAAGAGAGAGUUCAAGAGUACGUGAAACCGUUCGGGGGUAAACGGGCGAAAUCUGGAAAAUCGAACGGAGAUGUUCAAGCCCCACUCGCUCGUGCGUUGCACGGCGGCCGCCGAUGGGGGCGUGACGCCCGCGUGUGCCGCAAGGUGCACCGGUGUCGUUCGCGCUCUCCACGCGCUGCGUCGUCGGGCUCGCCGGCGUCGGGCCGCACUCAUCUCCUUGUAGUACGUCGCGACCCGUUGGGCGUCUGUCCAAGGCCCGUGCGUGGAGCCGGUCGUUGUGCGCGUCGUGGCGCGCGGGGUUCGCCUCGCGUCGCCCACCGUCACGGCCGACCGCUGCGGUGUCCCGACAGACUCGCCCGACGGUAUGCCAAAGUUACCGAUCCGAAUCGCACACAGUCCUCGGACGUGCGGCGUCCUAGCGGCGCACGGAUCGCGUCGGCGACGCUCCAUCCAGAGCAUCACCCGACCCGUCUUGAAACACGGACCAAGGAGUCUAACAUGUGCGCGAGUCAUUGGGACCGCACUAAACCUAAAGGCGUAACGAAAGUAAAGGCCGGCCGUGGCGCGGCGCGCCCUCGAGGUGCGUUCGCGCCCGCCGCCGAGGGGGGAUGCAACCCGUCCAUUGCGACGCGGCUGCCGCACCCCCGGGGCGUCUCGUUGUCAUCGCGACACAGUAGGCGCACCCAGAGCGUACACGUUGGGACCCGAAAGAUGGUGAACUAUGCCUGGUCAGGUCGAAGUCAGGGGAAACCCUGAUGGAGGACCGUAGCGAUUCUGACGUGCAAAUCGAUCGUCAGAGCUGGGUAUAGGGGCGAAAGACUAAUCGAACCAUCUAGUAGCUGGUUCCCUCCGAAGUUUCCCUCAGGAUAGCUGGCACUCGGAGACAUUGUGGAGCGGCGCCGAGGUCGCAAGACCGGAGCCCGCACGUAACCAGUCUCAUCUGGUAAAGCGAAUGAUUAGAGGCCUUGGGGCCGAAACGACCUCAACCUAUUCUCAAACUUUAAAUGGGUGAGAAAUUCGACUUGCUCGAAUCAAUGAAGUCAAAUAUUAAAUGACAGGAUGAACGAGUGCCAAGUGGGCCAAUUUUGGUAAGCAGAACUGGUGCUGUGGGAUGAACCAAACGUCGAGUUAAGGCGCCUAAAUCGAUGCUCAUGGGAUACCAUGAAAGGCGUUGGUUGCUUAAGACAGCAGGACGGUGGCCAUGGAAGUCGGAAUCCGCUAAGGAGUGUGUAACAACUCACCUGCCGAAGCAACUAGCCCUGAAAAUGGAUGGCGCUCAAGCAUCGUGCCUAUACUCGACCGUCGCUGACAAAAGGCGCGCGCCGCUUAGCGGCGGCGCGCGUCACCAAGUCGCGACGAGUAGGAGGGUCGCGACGGUGAGCGCAGAAGUGUCGGUCGCGAGGCCGCAUGGAGCCGCCGUCGGUGCAGAUCUUGGUGGUAGUAGCAAAUACACUAGCGAGGCCCUGGUGGACUGACGUGGAGAAGGGUUUCGUGUGAACAGCCGUUGCACACGAGUCAGUCGAUCCUAAGCCCCAGGAGAAAUCCGAUGUUGAUGUGCUGUCGAAUACUUUCACGUAUGACCACAUCGGGCGAAAGGGAAUCCGGUUCCUAUUCCGGAACCCGGCAGCGGAACCGACCAUGCGGGCCAAUGUCGCGCAAGCGGCAACUCGUCGGGGUAACCCAAAAGGACCCGGAGACGCCGUCGGAUGAUCGAGGCAGAGUUUUCUGUUCUGUAUGAGCGUUCGAGUUCCCUGGAAUCGCCUAGCGCGGAGAUAGGGUUUGGAACGCGAAGAGCACCGCACUUGCGGCGGUGUCUCGAUCUAUCCCUCGGACCUUGAAACCGGGAGAGGGGCCACGUGGAGGUGUCGCGCCGGUUCGUACCCAUAUCCGCAGCAGGUCUCCAAGGUGAGAGCUU
rnacentral:rRNA from 1 species